rnacentral:rRNA from 1 species
AUUGAACGCUGGCGGCAUGCUUUACACAUGCCAGUCGAACGGCAGCGCGGGCUUCGGCCUGGCGGCGAGUGGCGAACGGGUGAGUAAUACAUCGGAACGUGCCCGGUAGUGGGGGAUAGCUCGGCGAAAGCCGGAUUAAUACCGCAUACGACCUGAGGGUGAAAGCGGGGGAUCUUCGGACCUCGCGCUAUUGGAGCGGCCGAUGGCAGAUUAGCUAGUUGGUGGGGUAAAGGCCUACCAAGGCGACGAUCUGUAGCUGGUCUGAGAGGACGACCAGCCACACUGGGACUGAGACACGGCCCAGACUCCUACGGGAGGCAGCAGUGGGGAAUUUUGGACAAUGGGCGAAAGCCUGAUCCAGCAAUGCCGCGUGUGUGAUGAAGGCCUUCGGGUUGUAAAGCACUUUUGGCGGGAACGAAAAGGACUGUGCCAAUACCACGGUUCGAUGACGGUACCCGCAGAAUAAGCACCGGCUAACUACGUG